rnacentral:rRNA from 1 species
UUAGAGUUUGAUCCUGGCUCAGGACGAACGCUGGCGGCGUGCUUAACACAUGCAAGUCGAACGAUGAUCCGGUGCUUGCACCGGGGAUUAGUGGCGAACGGGUGAGUAACACGUGAGUAACCUGCCCUUGACUCUGGGAUAAGCCUGGGAAACCGGGUCUAAUACCGGAUACGACCUUUCACCGCAUGGUGGUUGGUGGAAAGAUUUUUUGGUUUUGGAUGGACUCGCGGCCUAUCAGCUUGUUGGUGAGGUAAUGGCUCACCAAGGCGACGACGGGUAGCCGGCCUGAGAGGGUGACCGGCCACACUGGGACUGAGACACGGCCCAGACUCCUACGGGAGGCAGCAGUGGGGAAUAUUCCACAAUGGGCGAAAGCCUGAUGGAGCAACGCCGCGUGCAGGAUGAAGGCCCUAGGGUCGUAAACUGCUUUUAUCUGUGAAGAUUAUGACGGUAGCAGAUGAAUAAGGAUCGGCUAACUCCGUGCCAGCAGCCGCGGUCAUACGGAGGAUCCGAGCGUUAUCCGGAAUGACUGGGCGUAAAGAGUUGCGUAGGUGGCAUGUUAAGCGAAAUGUGAAAUCGGGUGGCUCAACCAUCCGGCUAUAUUUCGAACUGGCAAGCUAGAGCACAUGAGGGGUACCUGGAAUUCCCGGUGUAGGAGUGAAAUCCGUAGAUAUCGGGAGGAACACCAAUGGCGUAGGCAGGGUACUGGCAUGUGGCUGACACUAAGGCACGAAAGCGUGGGGAGCGAACGGGAUUAGAUACCCCGGUAGUCCACGCCGUAAACUAUGGAUGCUAGCUGUGGGGGGUAUCGACCCCCCUCCCGUAGCGAAGCUAACGCGUUAAGCAUCCCGCCUGAGUAGUACGAGCGCAAGCUUAAAACUCAAAGGAAUUGACGGGGACCCGCACAAGCGGUGGAGCGUGUUGUUUAAUUCGAUGAUAAGCGAAGAACCUUACCAGGGUUUGACAUCCCGAGAAGGCUUCCGAAAGGAAACUGUGCCGUAAGGAACUCGGUGACAGGUGUUGCAUGGCCGUCGUCAGCUCGUGUCGUGAGAUGUUGGGUUAAGUCCCGCAACGAGCGCAACCCUUAUGUUUAGUUGGAUUUUUCUAAACAGACUGCCUCGGCAACGGGGAGGAAGGGGGGGAUGAUGUCAGGUCAGUAUUACCCUUACAUCCUGGGCUACAAACACGCUACAAUGGCCGGUACAAAGGGCGGCGAAGCCGCGAGGUGGAGCAAACCCCAUCAAAGCCGGUCCCAGUUCGGAUUGCAGGCUGAAACUCGCCUGCAUGAAGUCGGAAUCGCUAGUAACCGUAGGUCAGCACACUACGGUGAAUACGUUCCCGGGUCUUGUACACACCGCCCGUCAAGCCACGAAAGUCGCCAACACCCGAAGUACGCUUCGCGCGUCCUAAGGUGGGGGAGAUGAUUGGGGUUAAGUCGUAACAAGGUAACC